rnacentral:rRNA from 1 species
UGUUACAAUGGCAGGUACAGAGGGGUGCUACCGGGUGACCGGAUGCCGAUCUCGAAAACCUGUCCCAGUUCGGACUGGAGUCUGCAACCCGACUCCACGAAGUUGGAUUCGCUAGUAAUCGCGCAUCAGCCAUGGCGCGGUGAAUACGUUCCCGGGCCUUGUACACACCGCCCGUCAAGCCGUGGGAGCCGGGGGCGCCUGAAGUCCGGGACCGCGAGGACCGGCCUAGGGCGAAACUGGUGACUGGGGCUAAGUCGUAACAAGGUAAC